AAUGCAAUUCUACUUCGAUGCUAAAAUACAUAGAUACACUGUUAGUAGAAAACUAACACACAUGCAAGGAAUUAAGUGCUGAAAAGAUGAGGAAAAGUGAAGUAGACGAUUUGAUCUUGAUCCCAAUAGAAAAAUGAAAAGAUGAAUCGAAGCACUAGCUGCUGCACCAUAUCUCUAGGACAUGACAUGACAACGGCACAUCCUUUUUCUGAAGCUUUCAAAGCAUCUUAUAAUUGGCAUCUUGACACAUGCAUGCAAUGAAAAAGAAAAAAAAGAAAAAGAAAAAACUAAGCUAACGGUUGAGCAUAUCCAAUCCAAGUUGGGAAAGUUCAAAUACCAAUCAAACACAUAGUCUGACUACCACUGUGGAUAGAAAGUUGGCACUCUUUUCUGAUUGGAAGUGGAAUAAUCACACAACCUGUUGCAGCCUUUCACCAUCUCAAAAUUAAUGAUGAUCCACUAGUUGACCAAGUAUAGAAUAUGUAUCAUUGGCGUUAUUUUGUCAUCAUCUAUUUUUAUGUAUGGACAGAAAUAGUUUAGAAUUGUUCAUACAUGCAUGAUGCCAUCUUAUGAAUCCAUCUGAGCAACUGAUUUUUUUAAAAAAAAAAUUAAUAAUAAAGUAGCUGUAGGUACAAGCUUUGAUCUAGUUAAAUAUAUGUUUAAUGAUGUAUCUGGUGGUACAACUUUUCAUGCUGCUAAUUGUUUGUACUUUAUUAUGGCAAUCAAGUACAACAGGCGAGAUGAUACUUCAAACAAGAUCACUUAAUACUAAUAUUUUUUUCUGCUGCAGGUUAGGACGAUGUACUUUUGCACUGCAACACAGGGAAAGCCUUUUACAUAUAGUCUAGAAAAAAGGACAUCUGCAGCAAAGAGAAAAACAAGUCUGACUACCUUUUUUUUACAUGCCUUGACAACGAACCUAGCUAGGGCCUUGUUUAGUUCUAAAUUUUUUUGCAAAAUCGAUACUGUAGCACUUUCGUUUGUAUUUGACAAAUAUUAUUCAAUCAUAGACUAAUUAGACUCAAAAGAUUCGUCUCGUCAAUUUCGACCAAACUGUGUAAUUAGUUAUUAUUUUCGUCUAUAUUUAAUACUCCAUGAAUCUGAAAAAUUUUGUAAAUUUUUUUGGAACUAAACAAGGCCUAGCUUACGUAGGGAAAUUAGAAAACCUGAAAAAAAAAAGAUGUGCAGCUCCAAAUGGGCAUUGGAAGCAAAAGAAAAAGGCUCAAUAAUUGUGCCCUGUUUCAGAGGUAGCUCGGAUGUGCACGUCACUAUGUGGAAUAAUCCAUUCCGUCCUUAAUCAAGAUGCUUACAAAUAUAUAUAUGAACUCUACAUACGAGCUUCUAAUUAAUGUUGAUGGAGUCAUGGCAUAACUAUAGCUACUAUUAAUUAUAGAACGUAGUGCCAAUAACAAAGUAGCUAUAUAGCUAGGUCAAGGAUAGCGAAUAGAGGAAAUAAACAAGCAUGAUUAAACGCUGACGACACUCAUAACUAAUCUACCAAAUUUUUUUAAUUGCCUCAAAUAAAAAGAUGAUCGAGGCAUGUAUAUGCUACUACUAUUGCAAAUCCGACGAGCAAGAACAUGCAUAUUUUGAACCAAAAGGCAAAGAAGAGAAGUUCACUACAACACGGGAGAGAAGAACAUGCGUAUUUUCAAUCACCAAUUGGAAGCUAAUAUGGAAGGAAGAAGGUCAUGCUCAUGCAUGCUAGCUUACCCGUCCAUAGCGGCCGGUGGGGUCAGUCUCGACGUAUCCGUUGUCGCCCAGUACCCCCGCCGCCCUCUCCGGCCGCCGCCGUCCGCCGCACCGCCGUGUCACCGACAUGCUCGGCUCCCUCCACACGGAGCUUUAUUUCCUUCUGUCCUCUUAGUUGCAGCAAGCAGAGAACUCAACUGUAUAACCACCUGCUAGUAUAUAUCUGGCUUGUAUAUAUGUAUGGAGAGCCUGCUGCCUGCCUAGCCGCAAAUCGAUGGAUGGAAGCUGCAGCUAGCAAAGCAAAAGUAGAAGUGGAGGAAGGAAGAGGUGUGUGUGGGCUGCGGCCGGCCUGUGCUAGAGGGCGCCGCCGGGGAGGAGGUCGUGGUCGUUGUCGUCGUAGGCAGAGAAGACGAAGACUCGGAAGAG
rnacentral:lncRNA from 1 species